AUCCCACUCCUCACACCCUUCCUCCCUCCUUCCCAUCAUUCACUGAGCACAGCUGGGAAUAAAGAAUUCAUUUGGAAUGGCUCUCAAAGCCUGGCAAUGGGUGUACCAGCACCUGCAAGUUCAGGUUUGCAGUAUGGGCUCCUGUUGUGGAAUCCUCAAAUCGUCUGGGCUGGAAAGGGACAUUGCAGCUCCUCUCGUUUCAGCCCCUCUGCCACCUUCCACUAGGACGGCUUGUUCCAAUUCCCCUCCAACCUGGCAUUCCAGGGAUGGGCCAGAGAUUUGCAGCUUCUCUGGGCAACCUGUGCCAGGGCCUCACCUUAGCGAAGAAUUCCUUCCCAAUAUCCCAACUAAACACACCCUGUCACUUUAAAGCCAUUCCCCCUUGUCCCAUUCCUCUAUCCUUUGUCCAAAGUCUGUCUCCAACUCUCCUGGAACCCCUUUAGGCACUGGACGGGGCUCUAAGGUCUCCCCAGAGCCUUCUCCAGAGUACACAGCCCCAGCUCCCUUGGCCUGUCCUCAUAUUUUUGGGAUUCAUAUGCAGAUGCCUUUAGUGUUGCUGGGAUUCUUCAGUAAAUGAUAGAUAAAACAAGAGAUUAUCUGUGUUGGUUAGAUAAACAGCUUGCAGUUGUUUAUAGUUAAAUCUUUAAAAGUUUGGGGGAAAGAAGAAAAGCAUUUUUAAUGUUAAUGAAAGCAGUACUACACAUUGUGGAUGAACCAGAAUUAUUUGAUAAUGUGGAGAAUACAGAAAGAACUCCUAGGACUCGGAGCUGCUGGCAUCUGUCAUUCUGCACAGACAUAACCCCAUAGCUCCAGGUGAAGGGUUAGUGUGGCAUUCUGGAAAGCAGACGUUGGGAAAAGGGGCUGAAUUCCAUCAAUCUCCCACUGAGCUGGCAAUGAACUGAUUCCCCUGAAUGGUUUUAAGGAGUUUUCUGUUUCUCCAGUAUUGCCUUGGAACUUAAAGGUGUUUAAAUGCAGCUUUUUUACUGAAGGCUAAUUUACCUGACAAUAAAAACAAAACCAAAAUCUCAGUGGACUUCCUAAUGAUGUUGCCCCUGGGUUUUGCUGAUGGGAGUUUUGCUGAGCAGGAAUUAAGGACUGAGUUCUGCUAAUGGGACCACUUGUAAAUCCAGCAGUGAUCCAGUGUUAAUUACACUUCCCAGAUACUUUUCAUCUUAAAAUGGAAGCAACAGGAGGUAUGGAAAUACAAUUAAUGCCUUUUCUUGCAGUGAAAUCCAACGUUUUUAUUUAUUUAAUAAUGCAACAGAUAAUAUCUUCCCACAUUAAUGAAAAAUUUGGCAACCUUUGUGUAACCUUAGCGUUACUUUCACUGGGCAGAAGUAAACAGUGACAUCUCCUGGUAGACAAAAGGAAUUAUGUUCUUUCUCCUUAAAGGUCUCUUAAUUUACCAGACAUCCUUUUUCUGGUUCAGAAUAUGACUUAGAUCAGGCACAGCACGUGCAGGAGAUGUGUAGCAUUCGGCCCUUUUAAGGAUAAAAUAUCAAUAUAUCAAA